UCACUAAAAUCACUGUCUUGAAGUAAAAGGAGAAGAGAAAAAAAAAUGUCUUGGAUCAUGCCAUGAUGACCUGAGUGUUUUAUCAGUCCCUUCUGUUGACUACAGCAAGGCAAGCAGGUGUGGGAGAAAAAGUUGCCAUUCUGGAUCAGUGUAAGAAGCUGAGCUAAAAGCAUGAUAAUUAAGCUGCUACAUGAAAUACCUAUAUAUUUUGGUCAGCUGGCAGUUCAUAUAUUUUCUCUCAGUUUUUUGUCCUGGCAGUUAUGGAACAAAAAUCAAGAUGGCUACAGAGUUCAAUGAUUGAUUUGAACUGAAAUAUGCCUAAGGAACUGAGGCAUCCUCAUGAACAUCAUCAUGAAUUCAACAAGAGUUUGAUUUAUGUGUAAUUGAAACCUUUAUUGUGAGACCCCAGCUCAAUUGUAUGCUGUUAUUUGCUAUGGAAAAUGAAUGAUUAAUAAAGAGUUAAUCAAUUUCAUUGACCAGGAACAGUCUUGGUAGCCAUUGGUUCCUUCUAUCUUUCGUAACUUUUAACAAAAUUUUAAUCUCAAGGGCUUCAUUAUGGAAUUGUUUGUGCUGUUCUCAAUAAGUAUUUCAUAAAUUAGGCUUUCCUAAAGUGCCAGCGUGU